CACUAAGAAGCUAUGAAUCAGCACUAGCCUUUUAAGCUAGAAAAAGAGGGUACUCGCCCCUCCUUAGUGG
rnacentral:tRNA from 1 species